CCUACGGGAGGCAGCAGUGGGGAAUAUUGGACAAUGGGGGCAACCCUGAUCCAGCCAUGCCGCGUGUGUGAAGAAGGCCCUCGGGUUGUAAAGCACUUCCAGUGAGGAAGAACGCCUGGUGGUUAAUACCCAUCAGGAAAGACAUCACUCACAGAAGAAGCACCGGCUAACUCCGUGCCAGCAGCCGCGGUAAUACGGAGGGUGCGAGCGUUAAUCGGAAUUACUGGGCGUAAAGCGCGCGUAGGUGGCUUGAUAAGCCGGUUGUGAAAGCCCCGGGCUCAACCUGGGAACGGCAUCCGGAACUGUCAAGCUAGAGUGCAGGAGAGGAAGGUAGAAUUCCCGGUGUAGCGGUGAAAUGCGUAGAGAUCGGGAGGAAUACCAGUGGCGAAGGCGGCCUUCUGGACUGACACUGACACUGAGGUGCGAAAGCGUGGGUAGCAAACAGGAUUAGAUACCCUUGUAGUC
rnacentral:rRNA from 1 species